rnacentral:rRNA from 1 species
CACGUAGGGCGCAAGCGUUGUCCGGAAUUAUUGGGCGUAAAGAGCUCGUAGGCGGUCUGUUGCGUCCGCUGUGAAAACUCGGGGCUUAACCCCGAGCCUGCAGUGGAUACGGGCAGACUAGAGGUAGGUAGGGGAGAAUGGAAUUCCCGGUGUAGCGGUGAAAUGCGCAGAUAUCAGGAGGAACACCAGCGGCGAAGGCGGCGCUCUGGGCCGGUACUGACGCUGAGGAGCGAAAGCGUGGGUAGCAAACAGG